GAUGAACGCUGGCGGCGUGCCUAAUACAUGCAAGUCGAGCGAACAGACGAGGAGCUUGUGCCUCUGACGUUAGCGGCGGACGGGUGAGUAACACGUGUAUAACCUACCUAUCAGACUGGGAUAACUUCGGGAAACCGGAGCUAAUACCGGAUAAUAUAUUGAACCGCAUGGUUCAAUAGUGAAAGACGGUUUUGCUGUCACGUAUAGAUGGAUCCGCGCCGCAUUAGCUAGUUGGUAAGGUAACGGCUUACCAAGGCAACGAUGCGUAGCCGAGCUGAGAGGGUGAUCGGCCACACUGGAACUGAGACACGGUCCAGACUCCUACGGGAGGCAGCAGUAGGGAAUCUUCCGCAAUGGGCGAAAGCUUGACGGAGCAACGCCGCGUGAGUGAUGAAGGUCUUCGGAUCGUAAAACUCUGUUAUUAGGGAAGAACAAAUGUGUAAGUAACUAUGCACGUCUUGACGGUACCUAAUCAGAAAGCCACGGCUAACUACGUG
rnacentral:rRNA from 1 species